GCGGGUGUAGUUCAAUGGUAGAACCCCAGCCUUCCAAGCUGGUGGCGUGAGUUCGAUUCUCAUCACCCGCUC
rnacentral:tRNA from 1 species